AUUAAAACAAAGGACAAAUUUGCAAAAUGCGCGUAACAUGAAGGGCCAAAAGGGAAAUUAAUCCUGCCCUUCCAAAACGCUGUACAACAUUGGAUUAAAAGAAAAUAGAUUUAAUAUGUCAUGGAAAAAUUUGAAAACAAAAAAAAUCAAUGGUUUUGAAAUGAUGGAAAACAUGAAAGGAUUAAAAACAUAAAUAACCCAUCAAUGCCUAAAACCCAUUUCAAAUCCUAAUUAAAAUCCCUACUCCAUUUGUAACAGCAGCAGCCGCAUUCAUCCUCUCCCCUGCUCUUCACGCCUAAACUUCCCCUUUCAAUCUUCGAUUCAGACGAAGCAUAGCAAGGGCAUCGACGGCGAACCAGCACUGCUUGUUGCAGGUACCACUAGUGAGAAGACGUGUGUAGCGUGCGCAGAGGCUACUGAACGUGGGCAGUUGCUGCGACGUGGGGCAUGUGGCGCCGGUUUGCUGCUAACCUGUGUUUGGCUAAUUUGGGCUAGUGCUAUUGGGCUGAAUGGUAUUGGGUCAUUUGGAUUUGGAUUAUUUGUAAAAAUGAACUGUUUAUUGUAUUUAUUAUUUUUUGUGGUCUAUUUAUUUGGGUCCGGACUAAAAUGGACUAUUACACACAUGUAAAUAGAUUUUUAAACAAACAUUAAAAUAGAUCUUAUUCUAUUGAAUCAUUUAUUUU